rnacentral:rRNA from 1 species
CAGCAGCCGCGGUAAUACGGAGGGUGCAAGCGUUAUCCGGAUUUAUUGGGUUUAAAGGGUCCGUAGGCGGACUUAUAAGUCAGUGGUGAAAGCCUGUCGCUUAACGAUAGAACUGCCAUUGAUACUGUAAGUCUUGAGUAUAUUUGAGGUAGCUGGAAUAAGUAGUGUAGCGGUGAAAUGCAUAGAUAUUACUUAGAACACCAAUUGCGAAGGCAGGUUACCAAGAUAUAACUGACGCUGAGGGACGAAAGCGUGGGUAGCGAACAGGAUUAGAUACCCCAGUAGUCCCUGUCUCUUAUAA